GAUUAUGAAAAGGGUAAUUUAAGCAUCUAAGUUACUUUGGAACGACCUUGCAAGGUAUGCUAAGAGAUUGGGCCUUGCCGCACCAUUUAGUUAGUUGGGUAGGGUAAAGCCUUACCCAAAGACUAUGAUGUGUUAGCUGGACUGAGAGGUUUGAACGGCCACAUUGGGACUGAGACACGGGCCCAAACUCCUACGGGAGGCAGCAGUAAGGAAUUUUCGGCAAUGGAGGAAACUCUGACCGAGCAACGCCGCGUGAACGAAGAAGUAUUUCGGUACGUAAAGUUCUUUUAUUAAAGAAGAAAAAAAUGAUGGAAAAAUCAUUCUGACGGUAUUUAAUGAAUAAGCCCCGGCUAACUAUGUGCCAGCAGCUGCGGUAAUACAUAGGGGGCAAGCGUUAUCCGGAUUUAUUGGGCGUAAAGGGUGCGUAGGCGGUUAAAUAAGUCUAUGGUUUAAGUUCAAUGCUCAACAUUGUUGCGCUAUAGAAACUGUUUAACUAGAGUUGGAUAGAGGCAAGCGGAAUUCCAUGUGUAGCGGUAAAAUGCGUAAAUAUAUGGAGGAACACCAGAAGCGAAGGCGGCUUGCUGGGUCUUAACUGACGCUGAGGCACGAAAGCAUGGGGAGCAAACAGGAUUAGAUACCCUGGUAGUCCAUGCCGUAAACGAUGAGUACUAAGUGUUGGGUUAAACCAGUGCUGAAGUUAACACAUUAAGUACUCCGCCUGAGUAGUACGUACGCAAGUAUGAAACUUAAAGGAAUUGACGGGACUCCGCACAAGCGGUGGAUCAUGUUGUUUAAUUCGAAGAUACACGAAAAACCUUACCAGGUCUUGACAUAGCUUUGCAAAGUUGUAGAAAUAUAACAGAGGUUAUCAGAGUUACAGGUGGUGCAUGGUUGUCGUCAGCUCGUGUCGUGAGAUGUUGGGUUAAGUCCCGCAACGAGCGCAACCCUUAUUGCUAGUUACCAGCAUUUAGUUGGGGGACUCUAGUGAGACUGCCAAUGAUAAAUUGGAGGAAAGGUGGGGGAUUACGUCAAAUCAUCAUGCCCCUUAUGACCUGGGCUACAAACGUGAUACAAUGGCUGUUUACAAAGAGUAGCUGAAGCGUGAGUUUUUAGCCCAAUCUCAAAAAAAAACAGUCUCAGUUCGGGAUUUGAAAGUCUGCCAAACUCGACCUUUCAUGAAGGUCCCGUAUCGCUAAGUAUCGCGAUCCAGCAUGUCGGUGGUGAAAUAACCGUUUCUACGCUCCG
rnacentral:rRNA from 1 species